UUUUAGGGCCACACCCACAGCAUAUGAAAGUUCCCAGGCUAGGGGUCUAAUCAAAGCUACAGCUGCAGGCUUAUGCCACAGCAAUGCAAGAUCUGAGCUGCAUCUUCAACCUACACCACAGCUUACAGCAACAUUGCAUCUUUAACCCACUGAGCAAGCCCAGGGACUGAACCUGUGACCUCCUGAAUCCUAGUAGGGUCCGUUAACCACUGAGCCAUGAAGGGAACUCCCUCAAUUCCCAUUUUGUAUUUGCUAAAGUUUUCUCCUAGAGUCUUUAAUUCUUCUGCACUUCUAGGUUGUGCCUGUCUUUGGUAGGUCCUGCUUCCAUAGUUCCUGAAAAAGCCUUCUGGCAGGGUCAAGAGAAACCCAGAUUCUCUUAAACAAAAGAAGAUUGCUAUUGUUGUUAGCUCCUCCUGUAGAUCAUGUAAGCCAGUCUAUGGAAUACUUCAAAAGAAAGAGAACUCACCCUCCCAUUGGAGAAACUGAAGGCUACCUUCCAACAAAUGUGUCCUUAAGCCCCAUGAUAAAUGAUGAAGAAGCUGGGACAAGGCAAAAGUAUUUUCACAGUGGAAAGGCUGUGAACCUCUGCUGGACUGGGAAAUUACAUUACUUAGAGAAUGCAGAGCACACGAAGGCUGGAGACCUGGCCAAUGUGAUCUUCUCUAAGGUCUGUUAUCUUUGUCUUUCCACACUAAACAUCAGGUUCUUGAUGGGUGUCCACUCCGUCUAGGAUUCAACUAUAGUGAUUUUUUCACCUGGAGCUUCUUUGAGACAAUAGAGUCACCCAGAGGGCUCCUCCACAACAUAGGAUAAAGAACUAUGUCUGGUUUAACAUGGGAUUUGACUUAAGCUGCUUUUGUGGAUAUUGCAUUAUAUAUGAUAAGCAAAUGGGUUCUGACACAAGCAUCAGUUCAAAGAUCAAUCAAUGUGAAUUAAUGUGGCUUGGUAUGGCUCAGAGCGUAAUGUUUUAUAAUGGUUUGGGUUUUGUUUUCUUUCUUUGUACGGAAUCUACUGAUCCCCUUUAUUUGUUGUUUGUUUAAUGUUAUUACCUGAAAUCUCUUAUUUUGCAAGUAUAGUCAAAGUUUACUUUAUCACCAAGUUACUUAAAGGAAAUUACUUCCUUCAGUCUUUGUGAAGGUAAUUCUUUUCCCUGGAGAUAUAUCCUUAGUACCUGGGUUCUAUAUCUUUUGCCUGCUUAUUUGCCCUUUUUAAUCUUGAUGGUCUGUGGUCCUGUCUGUGCUGUGGUAAUACUUCCCAUAUAUUGAAUGGCUACCAUGUACUACCUCUCACUUUCACAGUUAACCUGGCAGAGUUGUAUGGUUAUCUUUGUAAAAAAAAAAAAAAAACUAGGUCUCCAAGAAAUUCAGUGACUUUUCUAGGGUCACACAUCAGGACUUAAAUCUGUAUUUAUGUGAUUUUUAAAGCUCAGAGUUACUUUGUAGUGAGAAAAGUAACUAUUAGAAUGGAAGGAAAUAUAUUAUGAUCUUAAAGCAUGAGGCUCUACAGUUGGACUGCUUUGGCUAAAAUCCUGGCUCCACCUUUGUUAUCAAACUAACUUUGAAUAAGUUACCUGAACUUUCUGAGAUACAAUUUCCUCAUCUGUAGAGUGGACAUAAUUAUGUUAACUAAAUUUCUGGAAUAUUGUGAGGACUAAGGUGAUUUCACAUGUGACAUCACUUUUUAGGACAGCGACUGGCAUAUGGGAAGAGAUCAGCAUAUAUUAGCUGCUAUUACAAUUGUUGUUGUUGCUACUAUUUUCUAAAUGAAAAGUAGUUUAUUAAACAUAACUAUUGGUAUCAUGAUGUUUUCGCUGAAGCAUCAGUGAAAGUCCUUCAUGAAUUUAGGAGUUCAGAGGAUUGAAUAUUUAACCAUUUCAUACCCACUGUCAUGUGAGGCCAUAUCUAUGCUGGAAAGAAAUGAAUUUUUUUUUUAAAUUAGUGCGUUCCAAACUUUGGUAAUAUUAUAACUUUUUUUUUCUGUCCUGACUCUGUUCUUAAAUAUGAAGUGGAAUAUUCACCAAUUACCACACAAUUCAUAAAGUAACCUCAUCCUAUAAAACCCUAUUCCUGGAAAACAGCCUUGGCUUGGCUUUGGUGAUUCUAAUGUGAGGAUUAGAGUCCAAAAUUGACUCCCUGGAAAUGCUGACCAGACAGCAGUUAACAAAUCACCCUCCAGUAGGAAGAGUUCCCAGACAAGCUGGGCAGGAUCAGGGCUUUCACUUCCCAUAAAUCUCCCACCAGCUAUUGUCCUUCUUUCUGGGAACCACCAUUAUUGCUUUCCAUUUUCCCUCCCUCCCUCCAAUUCUCUUUCCUUCCUUUCUUUUAUUCUAUUAGAGAAUUAAAGCAGAUAUCAAGCCUAAAUGUAAAAUUAACCCUUCUGUAUGACCUGUGUCUUUAAUGCUGUGCGUGCUAUGUAUAUAUAAACUUUUAAAGUCAGGACUUCAAGGACAGGAACUUAGUCUGGUCCUGCUCUGAAUAAUACAUAAAACACCCAGAAUUUCAUACUCUGCAGGGGCCACAGAGUCAUUGAGGAGGAUCAUGUUCUUCAGACAAACAAACAAACAUAUAUUCAUGAGUGUCAGUCUUACUCUGUGGCAUUGGUCAUAAUACCUCAGAUAUAUUUGGAGAAAAUUAUAUUAAAAUAAUAAUUAUAAAAGUAAUGAAAAUCUGGGCCUUUGAUUUUGGCUGUAAGGAUGAACUCAGCAAAAGAAAGAGAAGGCUUACUUGCCUGGACCCACACUAUCCCAUCUGCUUUAAUGUACAAUGUCUAUUAAAUGCACUGGGGUUGAUCCUAUACUAUCCUUUUUUCAGUUGGGUAUUUCCUGAUGUUUUUCUCCUCACCUUGGUGAGGUGAGUCAGCCUUUCCCAGUUCUCUAUUUAGCUCAUUAACUGAGUUGCCCCUCUGCCAGUGGUUUCCAAACACAGAUCUGUAACAAAAUUUCACCAGUAUGAAGUAAAAUGAGACAAAGAUUAAUGUAGGGACUUUUUCUUAAGGCUAAAUUUAUUUAAUUGAAAGAAAAGCAGUUUUCUCUGAGAUUAUGUGAUACCUAUAUUUUUAUGACAAAGAGGUCUUACUUUAUGAAAAGAUAUGCAAAAGAGGAAAAUAAGGGAACUUUAGACUUCAGGAAAUGUGAAAUGGAAAACUGCUCUAGGCCACACCUGGUGUGUGUGUGUGUGUGUGUGUUUAUGGCCAAGCAUCCAACUCAGGGGACCAUGUGACUGGACAGUCCUUUAAAGGAGGCUUCUAAAUGGAGGACUUGGUGGGGCAUAUUAGCAUCAGUCAGAUGGUUGCUAAAAGAGGCUCUUGAAACAGAAGGAACACCUAUUCCAUCCUAACAUACUUAUCUUUAAUCUCAUUGUUCUUUUGGGAUGCAUUUUCUUCCUCUGAGCUUACUUGAUAUCCUUUUAAAUCUGUUUUCACCAGAAUAAAAUUGUUUCAUAGGGAUGGCCUUGAUGUGUAGUCAACAACUUAAAACAGGAAAUGAAUGAAAAGAAAAAAUGCUGUGAUGAUGUUCUCAAUAAUAACGGUAUUUUAAAUGAACACUGUAGCUCAAGUAUUUUAGAAAACAGAAUGUGCAGCAAGCUUGAUUGAUGAUGCUUUAUUGGGAAGUGCAAUCUCAGGAUAGCAAAAAGAGGCAAAAAAAGUGCUUUCAUAUAUAUACUGCACUUAAUCAUCUCAAUGGAAAUAGAACAAGUUAGUGAUCUAAUUAAAAUUUUGUGAAGCUGCUUUUAAAUUCCAUUUUUGGAUGUCCUUAGUGUUUCCAUGGUAAAUAAGUGAGUGAAGUCCUCAGGAGGGUGAAUGACCAGCCCAGGGCUACAUAGUUGAGGAGUGGCAGACCUGAAUUCGAAAUCAGGGUUACCUCCUAAGCCAGUGGGUUUUCACCAUUCCUGCAGAUUGGCAGCACUGUGCUUUUAGAGGAAUACCUAAACAAGGAUUAUUAUUCCAGUUUUAGAGAAAGAGGGAAAAAAUGCAUCAGAGAGGCUAGUAAUAUGUCUAAAAACAAACCAGCAUAUUGAAUCCAAUAAUGUAUAGAAAUAAUUUUAUACCCCAACCAAAUGGGAUUAUUCCAUGCAAGGCUAGUUCAAUAUUCAAAAAUCAAAUGAUCAGAGUAGACAUAGAGAAAUUUUUUUUUUGAAAAACUCCAACAGUCAUUCAUAGUACACAAAACAAAACAAAAAUCUCGCAGCAGACUAGGAAUAGAAAGGAACUCCAUCAACUUGAUAAGGAACAUCUGCAAAAACCUAUAGCAAACUUCAUACUUAACGGAGAGAAACUUGAAGAUUUCCCACUUAGAUUAGGAGUAAGGCAAGUGUGUCCCCUCUCAUCACUUCCUUUUAACAUUCUACUAAAAGUCCUAGCUAACACAUUAAGAUGAAAAAGGAAAUAAAAGUUAUACAGAUUGAGAAGGAAAAAAUAAAUUUGUUUUCAGGUAACUUGAUUGUUCAUGUAUAAAAAUCCAAAGGAACUGACAAAAAAUCUUUGUGACUCAGUGGGUUAAGAACUCAACAUAGUGUCUAUGAAGAUUCAGGUUCAAUCCCUGGCUUUGCUCAAUGGGUUAAGGAUCCAGUGUUGCCACAAGCUAUAGCAUAGGUCACAGAUGCAAUUCAGAUUUGGUGUUGCUGUGGCUCUGGCGCAGGCCUGCAACUGCAGCUCCAAUUUAACUCCUAGCCCAGGAACUUCCAUAUGCU
rnacentral:lncRNA from 1 species